GGCCACUGCUAUUGGGGUUCGGCUAAGCCAUGCGAGCGGAGGGCGCGGUCGCAAGAUCGUGGCCCCGCACACGGCUCAGUAACACGUAGUUAACCUACCCUCAGGACGGGGACAACCUCGGGAAACUGAGGCUAAUCCCCGAUAGGUGAGGGACGCUGGGAUGCCCCCUCACCCAAAGCUCCGGCGCCUGAGGAUGGGACUGCGGCCUAUCAGGCUGUUGGUGGUGUGACGGACCACCAAACCUACGACGGGUACGGGCGAUGGGAGUCGGAGCCCGGAGAUGGGGACUGAGACAAGGCCCCAGGCCCUACGGGGCGCAGCAGGCGCGAAAACUCCGCAAUGCGCGCAAGCGUGACGGGGGGACCCCAAGUGCCGUUGGUCUUUUGAUCGACGGCUUUUCGGAAGUCUAAGAAGCUUCCGGAAUAAGGGCUGGGUAAGACUGGUGCCAGCCGCCGCGGUAACACCAGCAGCCCAAGUGGUGACCACGAUUAUUGGGCCUAAAGCGCUCGUAGCCGGGCUAGCAAGUCCCUUGUGAAAUCGGGCCGCCCAACGGUUCGGCGUGCAAGGGAUACUGCUGGUCUCGAGGCCGGGAGACGUCUGAGGUACUCCCGGGGUAGCGGUGAAAUGCUGUAAUCCUGGGGGGACCACCAGUGGCGAAGGCGUCAGACGAGAACGGACCUGACGGUGAGGGGCGAAGGCUAGGGGAGCGAACGGGAUUAGAUACCCCGGUAGUCCUAGCUGUAAAGCAUGCGGGCCAGGUGUCUAGCGCUCCUCGAGGGCGCUAGGUGCCGGAGGGAAGCCGUUAAGCCCGCCGCCUGGGAAGUACGGCCGCAAGGCUGAAACUUAAAGAAAUUGGCGGGGGAGCACCACGAGGGGUGGAACCUGCGGUUC
rnacentral:rRNA from 1 species